rnacentral:rRNA from 1 species
GCGGUACUCUGACCGUGCAAAGGUAGCAUAAUCAUUUGCCUUAUAAUUGAAGGCUAGUAUGAAUGGUUUGACGAGAAUUAAGCUGUCUCUCUCCAAAUAAAUAUAACUUUAUUUAUAGGUGAAGAAGCCUAUAUUUAAUUGAAAGACAAGAAGACCCUAUCGAGCUUUAAAAGAUUUAAUAGAUUUAUCAUAUAUUUAUUAAAAAACUAAAACUAUUAAAAAUUUUGGUUGGGGCGACUAAGGAACAAACAAAGCUUCCUUUAUCUUUAAUAACACUUACAGGUAUUGAUCCAAUAAAUUUGAUUAAAGGAAUUAGUUACCGUAGGGAUAACAGCAUAAUCCCCUUUGAGAGCUCCCAUCGAAAAGGGGGUUUGUGACCUCGAUGUUGGACCAGAAUACCCAGAAGAUGUAGCCGUCUUCAAUGGUUGGUCUGUUCGACCAUUAAAAUUCU